GAUGAACGCUGGCGGCGUGCCUAAUACAUGCAAGUCGAGCGAACGGACGAGAAGCUUGCUUCUCUGAUGUUAGCGGCGGACGGGUGAGUAACACGUGGAUAACCUACCUAUAAGACUGGGAUAACUUCGGGAAACCGGAUCUAAUACCGGAUAAUCUUUUGAACCGCAUGGUUCAAAAGUGAAAGACGGUCUUGCUGUCACUUAUAGAUGGAUCCGCGCUGCAUUAGCUAGUUGGUAAGUUAACGGCUUACCAAGGCAACGAUGCAUAGCCGAACUGAGAGGGUGAUCGGCCACACUGGAGCUGAGACACGGUCCAGACUCCUACGGGAGGCAGCAGUAGGGAAUCUUCCGCAAUGGGCGAAAGCCUGACGGAGCAACGCCGCGUGAGUGAUGAAGGUCUUCGGAUCGUAAAACUCUGUUAUUAGGGAAGAACAUAUGUGUAAGGAACUGUGCACAUCUUGACGGUACCUAAUCAGAAAGCCACGGCUAACUACGUG
rnacentral:rRNA from 1 species